rnacentral:misc_RNA from 1 species
GGACAAUUAAUUAUUGUCAGUUCACACAGUUUUGGAAAAUUUCCGGCAACUUCUUCAUUGAGACCAUCAGAACAAGCCCAUUGCUUCAACUCCAACAUAUCCUUAAUUACUAGAGUCUCCAGAGAUGGAAAAGGCUGUAAAGAAGAGGAAUUGUGCCCAUAAAACUCAACACUCACUUCAGUCACUCCACCCAUGCCUUCUAUUCUCAGGUUUCUGAGUUUGGAUAGUAACCCCAGUGGAGGUAGUGAGAUUAUAUUGGGGCAACUGCAGAGCUCUACAUCCACCAUGUUUGUGAAUGAGGG